GAGAUGGAGGCUCCCACAGCAAAGAGGGCUGUUCCAGGCCCUCAGCCUUCCGGUCGGGCCGGGCUCCACACCUCCGGAGACCCCAGCAGUGGCGUGUGGGGGUCCUGUGGGGGAGCGCUGGACACCCGCAGGCAGGGUGGACGUCUGCCCCAGUUUGCAGAGGAACAGAGUCUCAGGACAGAGGCUGGCUUGUCCAAGGUCCCACGGGGAACAAGGAGUGCAGACAAGAACGACAGUCAGGACUUCUUUCUGAGGGCACCCUGCCCACGCCCCAGCUGAUGGGGAGCAAGGAGGCGGCGGAAAGGGGGGUAAGGGCCAAAGGCUUCCCAGCUCUGGGCGCACCACUUCACUCCCACAAUCCCAGCACCCAGGAGGCUGAGGCAGGAGAAUCGCCAGGAGUUCGAGGCCAGCCUGGGCUACACAGCCAGACUGUCAAAAAAACCUAAAAAAAGGAAGCGGCUCAGAGAGGGGAAGUGCCCGACCAAGGUCACCCAGGGAGGAAGUGGGAAUAGGAAUUCGAACCCUAGUCCUCGCGGCCGCGUGGCCUCCAGGAAUGGCGGGGCAGAGAAGCAGCGAGUGAGAGACAGACACCUAGAGACAACAGAGACCUCGCCAGGGACAGCGCAGACGCUGACGCGGGGACAGGAGGAGGUGACACCCUGACACCUGCCUUCGCCCGGGCCUGACACAGUGCGGGGCCCGCAGCCGGGCGC